ensembl:lncRNA
UGUGCGUGUGUGUGUGUGUGCGUGUGGUUGUGCGUCUUUCUGACGCCCAUCCCUCAGAACAGGAAAUGUGUGAUGAUCAGAGACGACGCGGAAGAACGAGAGAGAGAGAGAGAGAGGGGGACGAAUCUUGUUGGGUCAUAUUCUGUUUCUGGCUGAGUUUGAGGGUUAAUUAUGAGUCAACGCCUGAUCAUAUUAUCUUGCCUCCUAGCAGUUCUGGGUGGUGUGGAGUCUGACAUCAUCACUGUAAGAGAGGGACAAGAUGCCAAAAUCACUUGUUCUCAUACACUUGCAGAUGGCAACAUCAAAUACUUCUGCAAAGACCCGUGUUAUACAAGGACAGAUACCCUUGUCAAAUCUGAUGAUCAGUCUCCUCCAAAAAGAUUCUCUCUGGUUGAUCGUGGAAAUGGAGAGUUCACCGUCACCAUCUUUAAAGUGAGAUUGACAGACUCUGGGAAAUACUACUGUGGAGUGGAACGCUCCAUACUCAACACAUUCAAAGCAAUCACUUUACAGGUGAUCACUGCAGUCCCAUCCACUACACCAGGUGUAUCUUCUCACAGACCUUCCAAAACAACAGUUAGGGAUGUGACAACCAAAUCCACACGGCCUGAACACACGUCUCUCAGACCUCCUGAGCACAGAGAGGAAGAUGGAGCAGGUGGUGUUGUAUACAUAUGUGCCGGGCUCGCUGCGGUGGUGUUUCUGUUAGUGCUCAGUCUGUUCAUGCUCUACACACAGAGGACCAGAGGCAGGAAGUCAUUGGAUCCCCCUGCUGGACACAGACCUAACACUGACUCAGGAAAUACUCAACAGGGUCAGUGUGAUUACUCUGACAUCACUUUCAAUCCUCACGUCUCCACCUCCAGCCCCGCCCCACCCAGCACAGACCCCUCCACCAUCUACGCCAACGUUCAACUGCCGUCCAAUCAGAAUCCAGACUCUCUCCAGUACGCCACCGUGAGAUUCACUGAUCCGCCAGCAGGGGGAGACAAAGGACAAAGCCCCCCGGGGAUAGGGAGAGAGAGAUCAGUCUUAUACUCCAGCAUCAACCUCUAGAGAGAAAGCCCACUUCAUUUAUAGUGCAAGGGCAUACACAUACAAGGGCUUGAAUUUAGGUUUAAGGAGGAAAAGACAAAGAAAGUUAGGGGCUGAGCCUCAGGGAGUCUAAAAGAAGGUUUGAUUUUUUAUUUUAUAUUUUGUUUUCUGUUUCUUACAUCUGCCCAUACGCUUCUGUCAUUAUAUAUAUAUAAUUAAUAUAAUAUUUAAUUAUAUUAUUAUUACAUUAUUACAUUUUAUUAUUAUUUCACUGUUAAGUCCACAUUACAGUCAUUUUCUGUUCGUAUUGCACUGUUCCUGUAGCUCAGUUUGUUACCAGUUAAUUACUUAUUAAUGUAUUAAUUUAUAUCUGCCCAAUGUAUCUAUUUAAAAACAUCCUCUGAGAAUGUAUCUGUUAUCCCUGUAGCAUGCCAUUUAACUAUUGUGUAUUUACUCAUCUUGCUGUGGGUAGUUUACAGUGAUUUCAAAUCAGAAUCAGAAUCAGAAUUGUAUUGCCAAUGAAUGAAUGUCAUGUAAUUGCAAUGGAAGGAUGAAGCAAGACCAAUCCACUCCUACACAUUUCAGUAGUUCUCAUCCUGUCAUGUGAUUCUUCUUGAAGCUUUUUGGCUCAUGAAAGAGAGCUGGUGUUGUAGCCGUUUCGCACAUUUUUGUCCAGAUAUAAGUUUGCAUUGGCCCUGGGUUACUUUGACUGUGUUAUAUGAUUAUAUUGUUUCUGUGUUUGCAUAUUGUUUCUUUAGCUGCAUAUUGGACUACCAUUUAAUUGAACUUUAGGAUUGUUAAUUUGUCACCUGAACCGCCCAUUAAUUAUUGUCACCUGGACGGCUCAUCAGUAGAUUUCACCUGGACGGAUUAUUAGAAGUGUCACCUGGAUAGCUCAUUAGGAGAUGACUGGAUAGCAAAAUGUUGGGUCUAGAGGCGUGUAAAAGAUACAGUUUUUUGACCACUUUUCGAUACUAGUUUAGCCUUUUUAGUUUACUGUAGUUAACUUUGCUUUAUUGUUUGAAUUUACUACUCGUUUAUGUUCACCUUUUUGGAGCCAAAAUAAAUGGAUUAUUCUUUCAACUUUUGGAGUAUCGAGAGUGCGUAAUCCACUACCUGCUGACCAGACCCACGGCCUUGACUGGAACUUGGAGAUGGAAAAUUAGAAAUCAUAGAAAGGCCGCCACAGCUGGUCCUUCUUGAAGCUUUUGGCUCAUGAAAGAGAGCUGGUCCUUCUUGAAGCUUUUGGCACUGAUGAAGGAGAGCUGGACACUAGUGCUUCUGCUUGUGCUUGUGCCUAAAACUGGAGGGUUUGCACUGAAACCAUAAGCAUAUUGGUGAAAUGACCAGUGGUGUGCCUAGAAUAGAAAACAUGUUAAUGUUAUCAAAGAUGAAAAGAGGUAAACCAGAAUCUCAGGAAAUAAACUAAUUAAACACAGCCUCUGUUUGUGUCUGUUAAGAUAUCUCUAAUGUAUGUUUUUUUUAAGUUUGUUUAUUUCUGUGUACUACUUUUCAUUUAAAAAGAAGUCACAGACAAGAAUGGAGAGUGAAUGGGCCACUUCAUAUCAGUUUAUAUGUGACUUGGUAUGGAAU